rnacentral:rRNA from 1 species
CCCGGGUCUUGUACACACCGCCCGUCACACCACGAGAGUUUACAACACCCGAAGUCGGUGAGGUAACCGCAAGGAGCCAGCCGCCGAAGGUGGGGUAGAUGAUUGGGUG